UAAGGAAUAUUGCUCAAUGGGAGAAAUCCUGAAGCAGCAACGCCGCGUGGAGGAUGAAGGGUCUAUGACUUGUAAACUCCUGUAAAGAAGGAAAAAAUUCCCAUUUGAUGGGAGAUGAUGGUACUUCUGGAGUAAGCCCCGGCUAACUACGUGCAAGCAGCCGCGGUAAUACGUAGGGGGCAAGCGUUGUCCGGAUUUACUGGGUGUAAAGGGUGCUCAGGCGGAUUUGUAAGUCAGAGGUGAAAUCUUACAGCUUAACGGUGAAACUGCCUUUGAUACUGCAAGCCUAGAGUAUGGAAGAGACUGAUGGAAUAUCUGGUGUAGCAGUGAAAUGCGUAGAUAUCAGAUAGAACACCAAUGGCGAAGGCAGUCACUUGGUCCAUUACUGACGCUAAAGCACGAAAGCGUGGGUAGCAAAC
rnacentral:rRNA from 1 species